rnacentral:rRNA from 1 species
GACGAACGCUGGCGGCGUGCUUAACACAUGCGAGUCGAACGGAAAGGCCCUGCUUUUGUGGGGUGCUCGAGUGGCGAACGGGUGAGUAACACGUGAGUAACCUGCCCUUGACUUUGGGAUAACUUCAGGAAACUGGGGCUAAUACCGGAUAGGAGCUCCUGCUACAUGGUGGGGGUUGGAAAGUUUCGGCGGUUGGGGAUGGACUCGCGGCUUAUCAGCUUGUUGGUGGGGUAGUGGCUUACCAAGGCUUUGACGGGUAGCCGGCCUGAGAGGGUGACCGGCCACAUUGGGACUGAGAUACGGCCCAGACUCCUACGGGAGGCAGCAGUGGGGAAUAUUGCACAAUGGGCGGAAGCCUGAUGCAGCAACGCCGCGUGCGGGAUGACGGCCUUCGGGAUGUAAACCGCUUUCGCCUGUGACGAAGCGUGAGUGACGGUAAUGGGUAAAGAAGCACCGGCUAACUACGUG